rnacentral:lncRNA from 1 species
GUUUUUGAUUGUUUUAAUCGAAAUGAAUUAUGGAUGCUAGAACCCUAAAACACUAAAAGAUACCCUAGGCACGUAGAAUUAGACUUUGUCUUGUGACAAUUUUCUUCACGAACUUACCGACUCUUCAUCAAUAAAGGUCCGGGCGACAGGAAGUGAAGCCGAAGAAGAAGCGACUCCACGCUAGCUUAAGAACGUUUGAGGUGGGCAUUACUUUUACUAUACGUAUAUAGAGAUCCCCUGCGUGUCGUAGGCCUCUUAUACGAAUAUAUGCAUGAGAUGAUUUUAACUGUUAAUUUCAGUUUAUUAUUAUGCCCAAAUGAUAAAUGACUCUUAUGAAAUGAAAAUGAAAUGUUUAUGAAAUGAAAUGAAAUGUUUAUGAAAUGAUUGACUGCCAAAAAUGUUUAUGUUUUACGUAUGUAUCCUAUCUGUGUUGGUUCGCCAACUUUAAAGGAAAUCCAAUUGGGAUCCUAUGCUAGACAAAGGUCGCUAGCUAGGGUUAACGUGUACACACAUGGAGACCGCGAGUCACUUGCGACCGGUCUUGGCGUCCGUGGUAAGGAGGCCUCCUUCCCGGCGCGUGACAGAAAGGAACAGAUAUGGAUCAUAUGAAGGAAAAUGAUCGGCCGAUCGACUUUAUGAAAAUGAAAGAAAUGUUUUAGUAAGCGCAGGUCAUUUAAGAAAACCCCUGUGUGUUACUGUUAUGGCAGUUCAAUUUAUAUAUGUAUGCAUGAAUGUAUUUUCGGCAUUUGUCCACUGAGUAUUUUUAUACUCAGCCCUGCAUGUAUUUCUAAAUGUGCAGGUUGAGCAGCUGAUGGAAUGGAAUGGUGUUGAGCGGGUGUUCCUUUGACAUUUCAAGAAAUGUAACCUUGAGUAUACAUCUUCAUAUGUAUAUCUCACAUGUUUUUCGCUGCA